AAUUUCUAAGCAGUUUGUUGGGAAUUCUCACGAUAAAUGUGAAUCGUUCUACUGGGGUUUUAGGUAUAAGUUGAUUGCUUGAUUUUCUGGCGUUUGCUCUGUGUCCUCUUUACAGUGAGACAACAGACGAUGAACAGUUUGGGAAAUUACUGGAGAAAGUUGCAGUUUACCACGUCCACUAGCUUGACCCAUGCAUGGG